AUGAAACCAAACAAAGCACCUGGUCCUAGUAAUAUUCCUAUUGAAUUCUUCCAACACUAUUGGGAGAUUGUUAAGGGUGAAGUGAUGCUUUUAUUUGAUUGGUUCCAUGAUAAUAAACUAGAUGUGCAACGAUUGAACUAUGGGAUUAUUACUCUGCUUCCUAAAGUUGUUGGCGCAAAUAAAAUACAACAAUUUCGCCCGAUAUGUUUACUUCGGUGCAUAUAUAAACUGAUUACCAAGGUGCUCACCAUUAGGAUGGAACCUUUUGUUGAUAUCAUGUUCAGUAGACACCAGAAUGCUUUUAUUAAAAAACGUGAUAUAAUGGACGAGAUUAUGUCCCUGCAUGAAAUCCUCCAUCAUACUUAUGCUAGAAAAAAACUGGCAUUGUUCUUAAAUUAG
rnacentral:rRNA from 1 species